rnacentral:rRNA from 1 species
AACGAACGCUGGCGGCAUGCCUAACACAUGCAAGUCGAACGAGACCUUCGGGUCUAGUGGCGCACGGGUGCGUAACGCGUGGGAACCUGCCCUUAGGUUCGGAAUAACUCCCCGAAAGGGGUGCUAAUACCGGAUAAUGUCUUCGGACCAAAGAUUUAUCGCCUUUGGAUGGGCCCGCGUUUGAUUAGCUAGUUGGUAGGGUAAAAGCCUACCAAGGCGACGAUCCAUAGCUGGUCUGAGAGGAUGAUCAGCCACACUGGGACUGAGACACGGACCAGACUGCUACGGGAGGCAGCAGUGGGGAAUAUUGGACAAUGGACGAAAGCCUGAUACAGCAAUGACGCGUGAGUGAUGAAGGCCUUAGGGUUGUAAAGCUCUUUUACCCGGGAUGAUAAUGACAGUAACGGGAGAAUAAGCUCCGGCUAACUCCGUG